CGCUCGAGCUCAGGAGGAAAGUCUCACGCCUCUCCUAGUCUGUAUAACCGACCACAGACACUCUUCAUUACAGGAAGAAAGAAGCGCCAAACUCUGGAAUUUGAGCCUUUUCCUCGUUUUUAAGCGAAGUAGGAUACGUACAGUAAGACGUUGCCAGUGUAGCAGAAUCAAAUCCACGGACAGCCAGAGUGCGAUCACCUCAGAGGCCAUUCCUCUCUUAUACUCCAUCACUCCAUCAAGAAGAGAAAUGAUGCACACAAUCAUAUGAAAUGAUGUCUCUGUUUAUCAUGCUUGCUCUUCUUGUGAAUUUCAUUACCAUUUCACAAGGUGAGUCGUUGAUGCAUUAAGCUAAUAUUACACUUCCUGUUU